rnacentral:lncRNA from 1 species
CGCUUCCGCAACAUGGACAAGAGAGCCACAACUGAGGACCGCAACACGGCCUUGGAGACGCUGCACCAGAAUAGCAUCACUCAAGUCUCUAUUUAUGAGGUGGACAAGCAAGAUUGUCGCAAAUUUUGCACUACUGGCAUCGAUGGAGCCAUGACAAUUUGGGAUUUCAAGACCCUCGAGUCUUCCAUCCAGGGCCUCCGGAUAAUGUGAAGCUGAGUGAGCCUCCGCCAUCCAGCAUGACAAACUGUGGCCGACCGCAGCUGUGCCGUGGCACGAUGGCGAGGAAGCCAGCCCCAAGGAAACACUGAAAACACAUAUCACGCCAAUGCCGUGUGGUUUUGUUUGAAUAUAAAAUUGGUGAAAGUGUUGGUUUUUUUAAGGCAGUAAUUUUUUUGUUUGUUUUUUUGCGAUUUCAUUCCAUUCUUGACCAAAGCUUCUCUUUAAGUAGUUUAUUAUGGAAAAUUGUCACACUAACUUAAAAGACAGGGUGAGGGAGAUAUGUAAAUUGUCCACUAGAAAAUUAAAUAAAAGAACUGAAUGU